GAGAGCCUAGUAAACACAUUACAUGACUUUGUCGUAGUCAAAUCACAGCACCUGUGGCUCUCA
rnacentral:tRNA from 1 species